rnacentral:rRNA from 1 species
AACGAACGCUGGCGGCAUGCCUAACACAUGCAAGUCGAACGAGACCUUCGGGUCUAGUGGCGCACGGGUGCGUAACGCGUGGGAAUCUGCCCUUGGGUUCGGAAUAACAGUUGGAAACGACUGCUAAUACCGGAUGAUGACGUAAGUCCAAAGAUUUAUCGCCCAAGGAUGAGCCCGCGUAGGAUUAGCUAGUUGGUGAGGUAAAGGCUCACCAAGGCGACGAUCCUUAGCUGGUCUGAGAGGAUGAUCAGCCACACUGGGACUGAGACACGGCCCAGACUCCUACGGGAGGCAGCAGUGGGGAAUAUUGGACAAUGGGCGAAAGCCUGAACCAGCAAUGCCGCGUGAGUGAUGAAGGCCUUAGGGUUGUAAAGCUCUUUUACCCGGGAUGAUAAUGACAGUACCGGGAGAAUAAGCGCCGGCUAACUCCGUG